GGAAGGAUCAUUACUAGUGCUUGCACUCAGUGCUUGCUUCUGCCCUUGUUUAUACGUAUACUUGUUUCCUAGGCAGGUCUGCCUGCCAAAGGACCAAAACCACAAACUUUGCUGUCUCUUUCAGUUUAUAUAUUACAACUUUCAACAACGGAUCUCUUGGUUCUAGCAUCGAUGAAGAACGCAGCAAAAUGCGAUAAGUAGUGUGAAUUGCAGAAUUCCGUGAAUCAUCAAAUAUUUGAACGCACAUUGCACCCUAUGGUAUUCCAUAGGGUACACCUGUUUGAGCAUUAUCGCCCCUUCAAGCUCUGCUUGUUGUUGAGCCUGUUCAGCGUUGCUGUACUUGCUUCAAAGUUAUCAGCCAUUUUACAAGUGUUUUACAGCAGCACUAUGCUGUUUUUGCUUGCUACAUUGGCAUACACCUUUACUUUAAUCUCAAAUCAGGUGGGAAUACCCGCUGAACUUAAGCAUAUCAAUAAGCGGAGGAAAAGAAACCAACAGGGAUUGCCUUAGUAACGGCGAGUGAAGCGGCAACAGCUCAAAUUUGAAAUCUGGCCCUUCUGGGUCCGAGUUGUAGUUUGUAGAGGGUGCUUUGGCUAGUGCAGCAGUCCAAGUUUUUUGGAAUAGAAUGUCAUAGAGGGUGAGAAUCCCGUACAUGAUUGCCUGCUCUGGCUAUGUAAAGCCCCUUCAACGAGUCGAGUUGUUUGGGAAUGCAGCUCUAAAUGGGAGGUAAAUUUCUCCUAAAGCUAAAUAUCAGCUAGAGACCGAUAGCGCACAAGUAGAGUGAUCGAAAGAUGAAAAGCACUUUGGAAAGAGAGUCAAACAGUAUGUGAAAUUGUUGAAAGGGAAGCGCUUGCAGUUAGAUUUGUCUACAGUUGCUUAUCUAGGGUUUUUCCUAGUGCACUCUUCUGUUGACAAGCCAGCAUUAGUCUAGGCGGCUGUACAAAGACCUCUGUCACGUACCACUCUUCGGGGUGGCCUUAUAGGGGAGGUGUCAUGCUGUCAGCCUAGACUAAGGCCCGCGCAUCUGCUAGGAUGCUGGCGUAAUAGCUGUAAGCGGCCCGUCUUGAAACACGGACCAAGGAGUCUAACAUCUAUGCGAGUAUUUGGGUGUAAAGCUCAAGUGCGCAAUGAAAGUAAAUGGAGGUGGGAGCCUUUUGGUGCACCAUCGACCGAUCUUGAUGUCUUCAGAUGGAUUUGAGUAAGAGCAUAGCUGUUGGGACCCGAAAGAUGGUGAACUAUGCUUGAAUAGGGUGAAGCCAGAGGAAACUCUGGUGGAGGCUCGCAGCGGUUCUGACGUGCAAAUCGAUCGUCAAAUUUGGGCAUAGGGGCGAAAGACUAAUCGAACUAUCUAGUAGCUGGUUCCUGC
rnacentral:misc_RNA from 1 species